UAAUACGUAGGUGGCAAGCGUUGUCCGGAUUUAUUGGGUUUAAAGGGUGCGUAGGCGGCUUAUUAAGUCAGUGGUGAAAUAUCGCAGCUCAACUGUGAGGGUGCCAUUGAUACUGAUGAGCUUGAGUGGAGUCGAGGUAGGCGGAAUUGACGGUGUAGCGGUGAAAUGCUUAGAUAUCGUCAAGAACACCGAUAGUGAAGACAGCUUACUAGACUUCAACUGACGCUGAGGCACGAAAGUGUGGGGAUCAAACAGGAUUAGAUACCCUGGUAGUCCACACUGUAAACGUUGAUGACUCGCUGUGUGCGAUAUACAGUACGCGGCUUAGCGAAAGCGAUAAGUCAUCCACCUGGGGAGUACGCCGGCAACGGUG
rnacentral:rRNA from 1 species